UCCUAAAUUAACUUUAAUAACAAUGCUUAUUUACGAGAGAUAAAUUUUUAAAUAAAAUAGAUAACUGCGGUUAUCGACUGAAAUAUCGAUAUUAGAGAGAACCCGUUUAUUAUUUGAGAGAGAGAGUAGGAUAAAACUAGUUAGAACCGUUCUUUGAAAAUAACAAAUGGCCGAUGUCUUAAGUUGUCAUCAAACUCGUUAAAAAAAAAUAGAAUUAAAUAAAUGAACGUUAUUCAAGAAAAACUAAUAAAUCUUUACACACAAGUUAUGUUAAAUAAUAAAAUAAAAUUAUCAUCCGACUCACUGUAUAAAAGAAAGGAUUGGAGUUCAAUGUGGUAUCUGGAUUAUGGAAUUGUCUCUUGUGUUCGGGGCACUAACUAAUUUUCUGGAUUGUCUACAGGAUUCUUCUUACGGGAAAUUGAACUGCUUGUUCUUCGGAAAUAGGGUCUUGGAUGAUCUCGAAGAAGUAUCAGUAGUUCUCGGAAUAGGUUGUAGGAUGAUUCUCUUUUUAUUUUAAUAUCACAUACAUUGGAGUACACGCCAAAUUUCAACAAUGAGUAAAGUUAGAAAAAUUCAAAUUUAAAUCAAGGAUUUCUUCCUCAAAAUAACGUUAAAACCUCAAAAGAUGGAUGAAAAAUGUGCUUUAGGAGCUGAACUACAAUAAUUGAUACAUUUGGAAGUUAUGUUCUCUCGGUGAACUAAGAGAAUGUUAAAAUUAUUACAGUAUAUAUAAUAAA
rnacentral:lncRNA from 1 species